GACGAACGCUGGCGGCGUGCUUAACACAUGCAAGUCGAACGGUGAAGGGACCGGUUUUUGCUGGUUCUGGAUGAGUGGCGAACGGGUGAGUAACACGUGAGUAACCUGCCCCCUUCUUCUGGAUAACCGCAUGAAAGUGUGGCUAAUACGGGAUAUUCUGCGCCUGCUGCAUGGUGGGUGUGGGAAAGAUAUUGUUUCGGUGGGGGAUGGGCUCGCGGCCUAUCAGCUUGUUGGUGGGGUGAUGGCCUACCAAGGCGGUGACGGGUAGCCGGCCUGAGAGGGUGGACGGUCACACUGGGACUGAGACACGGCCCAGACUCCUACGGGAGGCAGCAGUGGGGAAUAUGGCACAAUGGGCGCAAGCCUGAUGCAGCGACGCCGCGUGAGGGAUGGAGGCCUUCGGGUUGUAAACCUCUUUCGCCAGUGAAGCAGGCCUGUCCCUUUUGUGGGUGGGUUGACGGUAGCUGGAGAAGAAGCGCCGGCUAACUACGUG
rnacentral:rRNA from 1 species